UUUUAAUAUUAGUAUUUGCUCUGACUUCCUUGUUGUCUUGUUAGGGCAAUCAUCUCCCAGCAUGUCUUUAAUAGGGGUGUGCCGAGUAUUCGGACAAAACCAUUUUUGCUACAGAUAUUAGGACUUUGCAGAACACACACAUGAAUAGAUUAUUAACAUCACCAUCCGGGAUUAUAAAACGUUUCUGAAAACAGAAUUUCUCGAGUCGACUGCAAAUUUAACAAAACAUUGUUUUUGACAUUGUCACAUCGUUGCCAUUGAUGAUGGUUGUAGUCCUAAUCCCCAGCACUAGUGGUUUUUCACCUCCUGGAGCAAACCUGGCAACUAUGAAAAUAUAGAACAUAAUGUGCUAUCAUUACACAUGUAUGCAAUAUGCAAUCAACUAAUAGAUUGGUAGACAUUAUACAACUGUACCUACUCACAGAUACACCUACAACUGAACCUAAUCACAGUAUCUAUGGGUAUACUGUAUACACAACUAUAUUUUUGGAGGUGUUUCAGACAUAAUGUGGUAAACCUCUUCAAGGUUAUGAGCGUUUGUCACAAAUUAAGUGGGAAACUGUCACCAGAUCACCCCAGAAUGAGAGUUCUUUCGAACAGGACAGUACCUGUGUGUUUGUUUCUCCGUCCUGGUCCACCCAGGCCGUAGGCAAGGUCAAGGAUAGCAGGGAUCGGUACACGAAUCGGGUUCUCGGUAUGUCCAGGUCCAAACGCCAAUAGGUGGCAAUCAUCAUUCCCCAAUCAGUCAACAAUCAGAAGACACCUGCUCAAUCCCCUUUCCCUUAGUUAAAUAAAACCCAGUCACAUGUUUUCUCUGGAGCUCGAUCUCUCUCUCUCUUUGGAUUGAGCUCCCUUUUGUUUUUUGUUCAUACAUGUCACAUUUGUCCAGAAUUAUGUGAGUUUUGUUACAGUGAUUGACUAUUUGUUUGAUGGUGGGAAAAGGGGGUACAAAGACAAGUCGCCCAUGGGCAUACACUACCCGUAGGUAAACUUUGUCUAAAUACACUAGUUAGAACUGGGCGAACCACCCACUGUAUUUUGGGUUAGUUAGCUAGCUG
ensembl:lncRNA